rnacentral:lncRNA from 1 species
GUGGCUUCCGAAUCGCUCUUCCUCAGUCGGUGAAGUUCAUCAUCCAGCUUCUUUGAUUUUUUCAUUAGAUGAUGAACUUUUCUUCUCAGAUCUCGGAUCAUCGACUUCAAAGGGAUCCCCUGCGGUAGGAGAAGAGCUUCGGCAGGACACUGUUGUUGGGAGACAAGAGAGUCACAAUACAAAUCAGUGCAAGAAAAUAAAAGAGAAGAAAAAGGAUGCAGAGUA